rnacentral:rRNA from 1 species
CGGGGCGGGGUGGAGUAAUGUCUGGGAAACUGCCUGAUGGAGGGGGAUAACUACUGGAAACGGUAGCUAAUACCGCAUAACGUCGCAAGACCAAAGAGGGGACCUUAGGGCCUCUUGCCAUCGGAUGUGCCCAGAUGGGAUUAGCUAGUAGGUGGGGUAACGGCUCACCUAGGCGACGAUCCCUAGCUGGUCUGAGAGGAUGACCAGCCACACUGGAACUGAGACACGGUCCAG